UACGUAGGAUCCAAGCGUUUGUCCGGAUUUACUGGGUGUAAAGGGUGCGCAGGCGGACUUGUUAGUCAGAGGUGAAAUCUCACGGCUCAACCGUGAAACUGCCUUUGAUACUGCAGGUCUUGAAUUGGGGAGAGAGUUGUGGAAUUCCGAGUGUAGCAGUGAAAUGUGUAGAUAUUCGGAAGAACACCAGUGGCGAAGGCAGCAACUUGGCCCUAUAUUGACGCUCAGGCACGAAAGCAUGGGGAUCAAACAGG
rnacentral:rRNA from 1 species